rnacentral:lncRNA from 1 species
CGGAGCCCAUAAAAGCUUCCGCAGCGGGAGGAAUUCUACACUGUCAUACUUACACCACGUCAUCAAUAACAAGUCAAUCAUAUUUCUUCUUUUCAAACAAAAGUACAAUAAAAAUACUUUUUUACAAUCAUGAUGGAACAUAUAUUCUUAAAAGAAUUAAUUUGAUUGGUUUGUUACGCCACGUCACUAAUAUACCCGUUGCAUUCUAGAAUUUUUCCCGCAGCAGAGGCGAAAACCCGAACCGGGAAUGCUUGUUGAGUGUAAUGGUUAUAUAUUGCGAUUGCGUGCGUCUCCUUGCAAAUUUUUUAAAUUAAUAUACUUAAAAAAAUACUAGAAUUAUAAAAAUAAUGUUUUAAAAAUUUUAUUUACAAAAUUAGGUUUAUACGGUAAAUAAAUUACCGCUUUUAAAUAUAAUAAAAUAUUUUUUUAAAAUAGUAAAAUUAUUUUGAAAAAACUUCAAAUAUCACUUAUUUAGUUUUACACUUUCUCACUUUGGUACCAUGGGGUUUAACGUGUAUCGAUUUAGCAUCUCGUUGUUUCAUUUUUCUUUUUUUAUUAUCCUUCCACUAAUUUUUUUUAUUAAAUUAGCGACAAAAUUAAAACUAAAAGGUAGUAAAGUGAAUAUUCGAUAAAUCUCGACGGGAUAUCUGAAAAUUUUUGUAUAUAAUUUAACGAAACAUUAACAGACGUCGAAGGAGUUGACGAAAAGAAAAAAAUAAAACUAUAUGGUACUAAAUUGAUACACUUUAAACUAUAUGAUACUAAAAUAAAAAAAAUAUGCAAAACCAUAAGAAUGGUAUUUGAAAUUUGUCUAAUUAUUUUUAGUGUUUAAUAUUAUACAUAUUUUAAAGUUUGGAUAUAGAAAAUAUAUUAAUUAGGAUAAAAUGGUAAUGAUUCACUGUUUUUUUCUCAUUCGAUUACUUUUUUUUCUCAUUUGAUUAUUGUGUAAUAAAAAUAAUUUUAAUCAUCUAUUUGCAUAAAAUGCGACUUUUUUGGACCAAAGUUGAAUAGUUUUGUUGAAAUGAUUAAUUUGUUUUUAUUAUAGUUUUAUUUUUUAAAAAUUAUUUAUCUAUAGUAUCGACCAUAUUAACUAUUUUUAUACUAAACUGAUAUUUUAUUUUUUACAAAUUUUUACUUUAACGAUAUCUAUUCGUCGUAACAUGCAUGUGACUGCACUAGUAUUUAUAAAAAACUUAAUGAAAUUAACACUUUUUUUUGUGGGGGAACUUCAAAUACCCCCGUGGUUUCGUAAUUUCUCACUUUAGUACCCUAUGGUUUAAAGUGUAUCAAGUUAGUACCAUAUGAUUUUGCACCUUCUCACUUUAGUACCCUAUAAUUUCAAGUGUAUCAAGUUAGUACCCUGUGGUUUCGCACUUUUCCACUUUAGUAUCGUGUGGUUUAAUACUUCGUUAAAUUAUAUACUUUGAAAUGAAUAAUAAAAAGAGAAAAUUGAAACCACAGGGUACUAGUUUGAUACAUUUGAAAUCAUAUAGUACUAAAGUGAAAAAGUGCGAAACCAUAUGGUACUAACUUAAUACACUUGAAACCACAUCGUACUAACUACAGGGGUAUUUAAAGUUUCCUUUUUCCUUUUUUCUUUUUUCUUUUUUCUUU